ensembl:lncRNA
CUUUAUAGAUUUAUUUUUUACAAAGCUGAUAUUCGUGAAGUGUCGGACCGCCGGUGACACUGCAGCCAUUGGUGUAAACAUGAUGGUGCAUCAGGAAUAUUGGAAUACCGUAACUCAUUCUAGUCCCGGUGAGGACGCUACCAAUUCUUCUAAAUUAACAAACAAAAGUAAAUGUCUAAAACAUAUGCGUGAACACCAUGUUAAACUUACUGUUAUGUUGGUGUUUCUUACAAACAUGGAAUUAAUAUAAGUCACUCUGGAUAAGAGCUUCUGCUAAACAACUAAAAUGUCUGUGUGCCGUGCAGGCUGAGUACUAUACAAAAACAUCCAGGUGACCAUGGAAAAAUUUCCCAUGAAUGUCCCACAAAACUUCUCAGUGAUGUCCCAGGGACCUACUGCAGGGGGCCCAUGACCAUGACCUCUUGGGUACCAUGAUACUAUGUCCUCAGACAGUCCUGGGGGACAAAUACCAAACCAAACAGGAAUUAGGCACAACCUCAUUGAGACCAUCACACAACAUCCCAAGAACGACAUAAAAACGAUGAAAAAACAUGACCUAUGAUUUUCUUUUUCUGGGAAGCUAUUUGUUUAACAUCCACAUUUUAAGGAAAAUAAUGAUUUUUUUUUAUUGGUGACAAUACAGUUAAAUAGAUCUUUAAAUUGACUGUGAAAUGCAUCUUUUCAGCAGUCUGUAUUCUAAGCUCCUUUAUUCUCAUAUAUGCCUAUGGAGUUAUUGUUGGCCUGUAAAGCCCUUAAGGUUUUUUAUUGUGUGAAGCUAAAUGUGUGUGUGUGUGUGUGUGUGUGUGUGUGUGUGUACACAUGCAUAACUGGAAAACCAAACAAGAAGAAAUUGAUAUUUUUAGGACAAAUGGUCCACUUCCCUUUAGUUUACUACUUCCCUUUAGGUUUCAAACCUAAAAAGAUACUCAGACAUAAUCUUACCACUGAACUGUACAACUCUUUCUAGGGUAUUUUGGUUUGCCAGUGUGAGGGAGGCUAACCAGGCCACUACACUAAAAUGUAAGAUAAUCCUCUGUAAAAGAACUGAAAAACAGAUUAAAUGACAUUCAGCUUUUUCAGUUUAUGCAGGAAGGACAGUCUGUUUUCACAUUUUGUUUUUUCUUUCACAGAACAGUAUAUAUUUUACAACAGAACAGCACCCCCUGUCAGUCAUAUAGUGAAUACAUACAUCAUUGUUAAUUGAUAGAAAUAUACUGUGGAGAUUAUAUUACAUCAUGUUGCAGGUGAACACCUAUGGUGUCAUUGUUACUCUAUAUUAUAGGAUUUCUACUUGUUAUGUUGACAUAGCUCGGAGCAGAUCUCCCAAUAUUGCACUAUAAGAUGUUGGGCUGUUUUCACUCUCCAUCAGACCGAAGAACAUACCCUGUGAAUUCAGACCCUUUUUUAAAUUAUAUUUUAUAUUUGCGAAAUGUGCUUUUUUUAAUUGGUUUGAGGUGGCUAAUGUCAGUCUGUAUGUACAUUUUAUUUUUGUUUUAUUCUUGGAUUAGUGUUCCCAGGGCACACUAGUAAAUAAGACCUGUCUCCAUAUGUCUUCAUGGUUAAAUAAAAGUUCAAUAAAAUAAAAAUGCAUGAGUCAAAUUCUCUCAUAAUUAUUACUGGGUGAGGUCUACAGCUAAUCAGUAAUACUGCAUGUGACAUGUGAGACAAGGGGUGGCAAACUAAUUGAUCUUUGCUUCUGCAAUAUUAGAAAUGCCUAUGCCAAUUAUUCUUUAGUCCCACCUCAUUCCAUCCCACUGAAUUGAAAUACAGAGAAAGAGUGGUAUAUAAAUUGAACAAUGGAACUUUGUCUCCUAGACAGCAAUACAAGACUGCUUUAAAAGCACCAUGUUGGCUCUGUACUCAGACAAAGCUAUACUGGAAAAGACUGUAGAAGCUGGUGCAUAUCUGCCAGACUCAGGUGAACAUUUGGACAUAUGUCACAGACUCAGGUCAGAUUUGUACAUAUGUCACAUUCAGGUUGACAUAUGUAACAUUAAGGUGGGCAUCCGUCACAUUCCGGUGGACAUAGGUCAUAUUCAGGUAGACAUACCUAACAUUCAGGUGGACAUCCAUCGCAUUCUGGUGGACAUAGGUCAUAUGCAGGUGGACUUACGUCACAUUCAGGUGGACAUCCAUCGCAUUCCGGUGGACAUAGGUCAUAUGCAGGUGGACUUACGUCACAUUCAGGUGGACAUCCAUCGCAUUCCGGUAGACAUAGGUCAUAUGCAGGUGGACUUACGUCACAUUCAGGUGGACAUCCAUCGCAUUCCGGUGGACAUAGGUCAUAUAAAGGGGGAACUUAAGUCACAUUCCGGUGGACAUACACAACAUUCAGGUGGACAUCCGUCACAUUCCAGGGGACAUACGUCAUACAGCUCUGGAAAAAAUAAAGAGACCACUGCACCUUUUUCUUUCCUUUCCAAAAAAGUUGGAAAGGAAGGUUUUGAGUGAAGAACAGAAGGGUUAAAAUUAAGAAACCACUGCAAAUUGAACGCUUCUGUUCCUCACUCAAAACUCACUCAAAAGGUGCAGUGGUCUCUUCAUUUUUUCCAGAGCUGUAUUUAGUUGGACAUAUGCCACAUUCAGGUGGACAUACAUAACAUGCAAGUGGACAAACAUCACACUCAAGUGGAUAUAGGUCACAUUCCCAUGGACAUAUGUCACAUUCCGGUGGUCAUAUGUCACAUUCCGGUGGACAUAGGUUGCAUUAAAGUGGACAUAUGUCACAUUCAGGUGGACAUAGGUUGCAUUAAAGUAGACAUAUGUCACUUUCAGGUGGACAUAGGUAACAUCCAUCAGGUGUCAGAAUGAUGGAUGUUCAGCUGAGUUCGAUAUAUGUCCACAUGAUUCUUAUGGAAGAGAAUGGCAAUUUCCUGAAAUGUACAUCAUAUAUUUUAACGUUAAUCUUUAGCAGUGGAAACUGAUUGGGUUAUACAGGAGGCAGUGGUUAACAGGGUGUCAAGAAGGAUAUCAAUAAA